ACGUCCCCGUGAUCGAUGCACGUGCGUUGGUUCCCACAGCACCACCAUGCUUGCUGGGAGUUCUAGAUGUCUUUGGCAGUGAACGACAAGUCUCAUUCUCCAGACUGCCACUUUGUCACUUAGCCUGGUAGUCCCUUGCUUCAUAAUACAGAUGGAACUAAUAGCUGUAAUAAUAAUAUAAAUAUAACUAAUACUAUUAAUAAUAAAAAGGCGGAUAAUAAUGAUGGUAGCAGUGGGUGUCGAGCAGGCAGCAGACGCGGCAGCAGAUGCAACCACAAUCCAGGUGUAACCCUGAUCUAGGUGUAACCCUGCUCCAGGUGUAACCCCGAUCCAUGUGUAGCCCCACUCCAUGUGUAACCCUGAUCCAGAUGUAACCCCGCUCCAGGUGUAACCCCGCUCCAGGUGUAACCCCGAUCCAGGUGUAACCCCGCUCCAGGUGUAACUCCGAUCCAGGUGUAACCCCGCUCCAGGUGUAAUCCCGAUCCAUGGUUACCUGGGAGACGAGAAAGCACAAGGACUCCGG